rnacentral:rRNA from 1 species
GGCCGAUGGCAGAUUAGGUAGUUGGUGGGAUAAAAGCUUACCAAGCCGACGAUCUGUAGCUGGUCUGAGAGGACGACCAGCCACACUGGGACUGAGACACGGCCCAGACUCCUACGGGAGGCAGCAGUGGGGAAUUUUGGACAAUGGGCGAAAGCCUGAUCCAGCAAUGCCGCGUGCAGGAUGAAGGCCUUCGGGUUGUAAACUGCUUUUGUACGGAACGAAAAAGCUCUCCUAAUACGAGAGGCACAUGACGGU